rnacentral:ncRNA from 1 species
AAUUUUUAUGUUUUAUAAAAUUUAUUAUAAGUUUAUUUUACAUAUAAAUUAUAGUAUGAAAUUUUAAUUAUUUUAAAAAUAAUUAAUUAAAAAUUAUAGUAAUUAAAAUUAAAAAUUUAAGAAAUUAAGAUUUAGUAAUAUAAAAAUUAGUAACUAAUUUUGUGCCAGCAGUUGCGGUUACACAAAAAUUAAAUUAAAUUAUUUCAGUAUUUAAUAAAUAAAAUAUAAUUAAAAUAAAUAUAAAAUUAUUAAGUGAAAUUUUAAUUUAAUUUAAUUUUAAAUUUAAUUUUAUGAUUUAAAAAAUUUACUAAUAAACUAGGAUUAGAUACCCUAUUAUUAAAAAUUUAAUUAAUAAUACUAAAAUAGUAAAUAAUAAAUAUUGAAACUUAAAUAAUAUGGCGGUAUUUUAGUUCAUUUAGAGGAAUCUGUUUAUUAAUUGAUAAUCCACGAAUAAAUUUACUUAAUUUAACAUUUUAUAUAUCGUUGUUAAAAAAAUAUUUUUUUAUAAAAAUAAUAUUUUAAAUUUUUAAAAAUAAAUUAAUUCAGAUCAAGAUGUAGAUUAUAAUUAAGAAUAUAAUGGAUUACAAUAAAAUAAUUUAAAAUGGAUAAUUAAUUUUAAAAUUAAUUUAAAGGUGGAUUUAAAUGUAAUUUUAAUUAAUUUAUUAAAAUGAUUAAAAAUUGAAAUAUGUACAUAUUGCCCGUCACUUUCAUUUUAAAAUUGAAAUAAGUCGUAACAAAGUAGAAGUACUGGAAAGUGUUUCUAGAAAGAA